GGGACUCGCACAAGCAGUGGAGCAUGUGGUUUAAUCCGAUACAACGCGUAGAACCUUACCAAGGCUUGACAUGCUGGGCAAAGCUGAAGAAACUCAGUGGAGGUUAUCCUAGCACAGGUGCUGCAUGGCCGUCGUCAGUUCGUGCCGUGAGGUGUAUGGUUAAGUCCUAUAACGAACGUAACCCUUGUACUUAGUUACUACCAUUUAGUUGAGGACUCUAAGUAGACUGCCAGAGUAAUCUGGAGGAAGGAAAGGAUGACGUCUGGUCGUCAUGGCCCUUAUGCCUUGGGCGACACACAUGCUACAAUGGUUAAUACAAAGGGUUGCCAACCCGCGAGGGGGAGCUAAUCUCAAAAAAUUAACCUCAGUUCGGAUUGAAGGCUGAAACUCGCCUUCAUGAAGUCGGAAUUGCUAGUAAUCGCAAAUCAGCCAUGUUGCGGUGAAUACGUUCUCGAGUCUUGUACACACCGCCCGUCAAAUCACGAAAAUCGGUAAUGCUUGAAACCAACUAACUAACUCGCAAGAGAGGUGGUUGACUAGGGUAGGAUUGGUAAUUGGGGUUAAGUCGUAACAAGGUAACCG
rnacentral:rRNA from 1 species